UACAGUUAGAUACCCGCGUAGUCCUAGCCGUAAACGAUACUCGCUAGGUGUCGGCCACGGUGCGACCGUUGUCGGUGCCGUAGGGAAGCCGUGAAGCGAGCCACCUGGGAAGUACGGCCGCAAGGCUGAAACUUAAAGGAAUUGGCGGGGGAGCACAACAACGGGUGGAGCUUGCGGUUUAAUUGGAUUCAACGCCGGAAAUCUUACCGGGACCGACAGCAACAUGAAGGCCAAGCUGAAGACUUUGCUGGAUUAGCUG
rnacentral:rRNA from 1 species